rnacentral:rRNA from 1 species
UGGCGUAAACAGAGGGAGGCGAACCCGCGAGGGGGAGGCAAAACCCAAAAAUAAACGUCCCAGUUCGGAUUGCAGGCUGCAACCCGCCUGCAUGAAGCCGGAAUCGCUAGUAAUCGCGGAUCAGAAUGCCGCGGUGAAUACGUUCCCGGGCCUUGUACACACCGCCCGUCACACCAUGGGAGUCGGAAAUGCCCGAAGUCAGUGACCCAACCGCAAGGAGGGAGCUGCCGAAGGUGGAGCCGGUAACUGGGGUGAAGUCGUAACAAGGUAAC